UACGUAGGGCGCAAGCGUUGUCCGGAUUUAUUGGGCGUAAAGAGCUCGUAGGCGGUCUGUCGCGUCGGCUGUGAAACCCCGAGGCUCAACCUCGGGCCUGCAGUCGAUACGGGCAGACUAGAGUGUGGUAGGGGAGACUGGAAUUCCUGGUGUAGCGGUGAAAUGCGCAGAUAUCAGGAGGAACACCGGUGGCGAAGGCGGGUCUCUGGGCCAUAACUGACGCUGAGGAGCGAAAGCCAGGGGAGCAAACGGG
rnacentral:rRNA from 1 species